AAGGCCUUAGCUUAGUUAAAGUGUCUGUUUUGCAUGCAGAAGAUGUAGGAUAAUAGCCUGCAGGUUUUA
rnacentral:tRNA from 1 species